UACGUAGGGGGCAAGCGUUGUCCGGAAUUAUUGGGCGUAAAGCGCGUGUAGGCGGCCGGCUAAGUCCGAUGUGAAAUCUCGAGGCUCAACUUCGAGCUGUCGGUGGAAACUGUCUGGCUAGAGUCCGGAAGAGGAGAAUGGAAUUCCUGGUGUAGCGGUGAAAUGCGCAGAUAUCAGGAAGAACACCCGUGGCGAAGGCGGUUCUCUGGGACGGUACUGACGCUGAGACGCGAAAGCGUGGGGAGCGAACAGG
rnacentral:rRNA from 1 species